rnacentral:tRNA from 1 species
GCCGGGGUGGCGGAAUUGGUAGACGCGUACGCUUGAGGGGCGUAUGAGGCAACUCGUGGAGGUUCAAGUCCUCUCCUCGGCA